UCCAGUAACCAGUAGUCAACAUGCCCAGGGACGUGGAUAACCUCGGGAACUGAGGAUAAACCGCGAUAGGUCAUAAUAUCUGGAAUGAUUUAUGGCCAAAAUCUACAUGGCCCCUGGAUUGGACUUGCGGCCGAUCAGGCUGUUGGUGAGGUAAUGGCCCACCAAACCUAAAACCGGUACGGGCUCUGAGAGGAGAAGGCCCGGAGAAUGGGCACUGAGACAAAGGGCCCAGGCCCUAUGGGGGCGCAGGCAAGCGCGAAAACUCUGCAAUAAGCGAAAGCUUGACAGGGUUAUUCUGAGUGAUUUCCGCUAAGGAAAUCUUUUUGGCACCUCUAAAAAUGGUGCAGAAUAAGGGGUGGGCAAGCCUGGUGCCAGC
rnacentral:rRNA from 1 species